GCCCCAGCUAAGUCCACAUUCUUAACAGUAUCAUGCUAUACUUUCCUUUUCUCAGUCUUACUCUUGAUUUUUUUUUUUAUAGCAGAUGACAUUUUAAAGCCUUCUCUUUUCCUUUUGAAACUCUCACGUUUUAAAUGAAAUGCCAUGCUCUUCUGGUUCUCACCUACGUCCUCUUUCUGUUUCUAUUGUUGGUUUAUUUGAUCUCUUUUAGACCCUAGAAUGUGCCCCAAAGCUUAGUCUUUCUCCUCACCUUUGGAAAGAUUACCUAUGCUCAUGGCUUCGGUCAACCCUUCUAUGAUCUCAACAGAUUGUAAAUGCCAGACUCACAAAGACCAGAUCUGUCCUAUUUUGCAAGCUUCUUGCAGAGUGCGUGAUAUAUAGUCGAUUUUCAAUAACUAUUGUUGAAUGAAUGAAUGCGUGCCUAAAUGGGCGAGUCACUGAUCUGCUGAGAUUUUUCAGAUAAUCUUUUUCCAAAGUCUAGACAAAUAUUUCCUGCUACCUGUCAUUGCUAUGAAAUGGUGGUAAGAGUCUAGUAGACUGAUUGACAGUUUGCUGGGGCAGCCCUACCAUUUGGACUCUCAUCUUUUCCCAUUGAAGGCAGCUAUGUAGACUUUCUGUACGGGAGAAGAGAAGGUUGGUUCCUUCCGACGAUGUGAGUUGGAGCUUCCUUGAGAAGGUGUCAGUGCAGCUACUGGGUGGAGUCCUUGCUAAGUAGGCAUGGAUGAAGAAGGAUCACUGGAUCGAAAGCCACUGGUCGCUCAUUAGAAGGCACCGCAUCAGCCAGUCAGGGCAUUUGCCAACGAUUCUUGACAUAUUUUAUUGCUGGCCCACUUCUUUUGUCCAUCCAAAGCCGGUGACCAAAUUCAUCACUGGAUACUCUGCCCAUUGGAAGAAUGUUUGCCUCGCCACUGUCUUCGAAGGCCACCCUGGGUGGGAAGAGAGUGCAGCUGCUGGCCAUUUUUGGCUUUUAUCCACGUACUGAGUAGACCUAUGCAUAGAGCAAGCCCAGGCUUUUUCCUUCUCUGUCAGUUGGUUGGUCUUCUGGGUGAUGCGACCCAAGCACUGUCACUGCUUGCACCACGAUCUGGAGCUGCUGCAGAAUUCUUUCCUGCUCUGGGACCCGCUCAAAGCUGGCAGCCUUCCGAGACCCUCAGUAUAUAGACUGGAACAGUAUUUCCAUGUGUGGAAUAUGUUGCCUCCAGAACCCAAAGGAAUCUCCUGGGCAUCCUUUUUAGUAGGAUGACCAAGAUGUAAUCAUUUGUCUUUCACUCUGGAUGAGAUAUCCUAACAUAUCUCUAACUAUUGGACCUCUAAGUUUUCCCCUCAUGGGUCAAGCCCCAGAGUCUAGUUUAUCUCCCAGUCCCCGGAUAGACGUUAGCUACUUCUUGCUCCUUGAGCUCAGUUAAUAUAAUGUCAUCAAUGUAGCGGAUGAAUAUCGUGUUGUGAGAUAGAGAAAUCGAUGGCUCCCUACCAUGUACCUAAGGCUUUGUUAAUUCUCUCUAGCAGGGAUGCUGUAUCUGGUAUGGCAGGUGCAGUUGGGUUUGUGAUCAUCUGUUAUCAUCUUCCAAGAGAUCUGCCUGAUUUUUGCAGGGGAACAAGCCGGUGAAUUAAGUGGAGACAAUAUGGGGGCUCCCCACCAAUGCCUCUUUUGGAUCCUUAAGGGUAGCAUUAAUUUCUCUUAUCCCUCUAAGGAGAUGAAUUUGGUUUUUAUUUAGCAUCUUGGCCGGGGGCAGGACAGGAGCAAGUGGUCGUUUCAAAGGCUGCUCCUUGGCCUUCUGCAUUAUGACAGAUGUUACCUCACAGGCCAAGGAUCCAAUGUGGGGAUUGUACCACCACCAACCACGUCUACUCCACUUACACAUUUGGAAAUGACUGGUAGGUGGGUCCAUGGACUUAUGGGCCCACUGUGAGCCAGAGUUUGGUCAACAGUCCGUUUAUAACUUGACUCCCUCUGACCUCACUCUAACAGAGGAUCGUGAUGACACUUUGGGUCUCCAUCUAUCAGUGUCAUCUCAGACCCCCUGUCUAGCAGUUCUUGAAUGCGUGGGUGUACCCGCUUUGCCCAGGAAAAUAAAUGAACUCUUAUUACCAGCUUUAUGUCUCAGCCUUCGGUCUUUAGGACCUGUAGCUGGGUGUCGUGGCUUCCUUUGGGUCCCUUUCCUCUCUUAUGGUGCCUAGGACCAUCUUGGCUGGAUCAUCCCACAACUCCAUCCUAGUUACGCACCUCAUGGCCAGAAAGAGAGGUGGGAACUGAUCUUGAGGGAUAUUGUUUUGAGGGGGAGAGGCAGGCAGGAGGGCUUGCUCCUAAUAGGAAGCAGACUUGAAUUCUGCAGGCUCGUUACGUUCAGGGAAUCUGGGAAUUAAAGAUUUUCAGGGACAUCAAGGAUGAUUUCUAUGCUGAUUUCCCAUCCGCUAUAUCCAGGUCUGGUUUUUUUCCCGACAAGAACCUUGGCCUUGUUAUGGCAGACUGGCCUGAGUUGGGAGUUGAACCUUCUUUGCAUCUCAGAUCCUCUGCUAAUUAAAACCUGAGCCUAUUCCUCAGCCUUCUUGGCUCUUCUCCUGCAGGAGGUGAGGGUGCCUUGGUUGCCAAAGGGAGCCUCUGACUUUCACUGUUGGCUUUUAGCUGCCCAUUAAUCACCGUCACCGGAGCAACAGUCACAGUGGCCAUCCAACCCACUGUCCUUGUAGUGACUACUGUGUCCAUCAUUUUCAAAAGCCUGAUAAACUGUGUGUGCUAGUGUUUUCCCUUCCUUAGUAUAUUAUUCCAGUCUACCAUUGGUGGAAGUCUUCCCAGUUGGGCCGUCCCCUUCUGCCAGGGGCUAUCAACUCCGCCUAUCACUCCCCCGAUGCCAGCUUAGGGAUAAGAGAUUCAGCUCCCAAAUUCUAUUUUAUACCUGCUUUCUCAGACUACUCUUGCGACUUCCACAAGCUGAGGAGCCCAGGAAGCGGACCCUGAGACCAAGUUCAGUAUACAGGCUAUUUGAUGGUGUCCUUGGGAUCAACACGUGUGGAUAGGGUGACCAAUGUAUUCUGGUUUUCCUGGGACAUUUUGAUUGUAGCACUGAAAAUCCAGCCUCCUAGAGACGCCCUGUGUCCUUGGAAAACCAGGACGAUUAGCAACCCGAUCUGUAGAAGGGAGGAUGCAGAAUCAGGGUUGAACGGAGGGAUAAGUCAAGCUGGAACGCAAGCCUGAUGGCCUCAGCUGGCCCCGUGGAGAAAGAAUUCUUGAAUUAAGUUGGCCCAUCAGAAAUGUCCAGUAUCAGGCUGACUGGGUCUGCUUCCUCAGUCAUUAGAUGUGGGCUGGCCUUGGGAGAGCAGCUCUAUUGCGGAGACAAUCUCUGAAUGGGGCUAACAGCUAAAGGCUGCCUGUGGACAGCACUCCUAUGGGCUGGGGCAACAAGUCCUUCCCUGGAAAGGGAUCUGGGGCUGCAUGCCUGUGUCCAAUACAAAUUUAUGUAAACAUAUUCAUAUAUCUGCAUAAACAUCCGUGGAGGGACGCACAAGACCUUUGUAUCAGUGGUUGCCUCCAAAGAGAGACAACCAGGCAAC